GGGCUUGCCCUGGGGCAAAGCAGCGAACGGGUGAGUAACACGUGGGUAACCUGCCCCGAUGACCGGGACAACCCGAGGAAACUCGGGCUAAUACCGGAUGUUUCCCCUGAACUCAAGUCCAGAGGGAAAAGGAAGCUUCGGCCUCCGCAUUGGGAGGGGCCCGCGGCCCAUUAGCUUGUUGGUGAGGUAACGGCUCACCAAGGCAACGAUGGGUAGCUGGUCUGAGAGGACGAUCAGCCACACUGGGACUGAGACACGGCCCAGACUCCUACGGGAGGCAGCAGUGGGGAAUCUUGCGCAAUGCGCGAAAGCGUGACGCAGCAACGCCGCGUGGGGGAGGAAGGCCUUCGGGUUGUAAACCCCUUUCAGGAGGGACGAAGGUGCGACGGUGAACAGCCGCUCGCACUGACGGUACCUCCAGAAGAAGCUCCGGCUAACUACGUGCCAGCAGCCGCGGUAAUACGUAGGGAGCAAGCGUUGUCCGGAAUCAUUGGGCGUAAAGCGCGCGUAGGCGGCCCGGUAAGUCCGCUCUGAAAGUCCAGGGCUCAACCCUGGAAUGCGGGUGGAUACUGCCGGGCUAGAGUCCGGAAGAGGCGAGUGGAAUUCCUGGUGUAGCGGUGGAAUGCGCAGAUAUCAGGAGGAACACCAAUAGCGAAGGCAGCUCGCUGGGACGGUACUGACGCUAAGGCGCGAAAGCGUGGGGAGCGAA
rnacentral:rRNA from 1 species